UAUGACAUCAUAUGAUGUCAUUUAAAGGAAUUCCCACCAAUCACAUUAAAACAUCACUUAAGUAAGUAAUAAAAGAAGAUAAAUAACACAAAAAAAGAAAAAAAUAAUCUGUUUCUUCACCAAACUAAAGACCAGCCAUCUCCCUCUUCUCCCAUAGCCAUUUCCUCCAUGAAAGCUCACCCAAGCUCCCAACCUCACCAAAUCUCACUUGCAACCCUUACCUAGCUUCAUAAAAAAUUAACCUAGCAACUUGAACAUCCUCUAGGCAGCCAAAAGAGGAAGGAAAGAGCAAGUUUAAUUGGUUUGAAAUUCUGCUCCAUUCAAGGUUAGUGUCCAAUCUUAGUUCUUUUUGCUUUAAUUCGUGUUUAAGGGCAUGAAUUGUGUAAGAAAGGUAAGAAAAUAAAAUAAACAUGUGUGUGUGUGCACCCUACAAUUUUGGCAGCUAGGGUUUGAUGAUUUUGCUCGGUAGAAAAAUGGUUAUGAGCAGCCUUUGGUAGUGGAUGAGGGAUUGAAUAUAAUUGAGUAAAUGAAAUGCAAGAAUUGUGCAUGUGAGAAAUGAAAAAAAAUUGGACACUUGAACAAUUCUAGGGUUUGUUUAUGUGAUGGUUCAUUAACCUUGUAAUGGUCAAUUAGUGGCCAUUUGAAUGUGUAUGAUAAUGAAGUGAAUUGAGGCUUGACAUUUGUGUAUGGGUGAGCUGCCUUGGCUGACCUGCAGGACUAAGCAUGAGUCCAGCAGGUUCGGGCAGCUAUAAAU
rnacentral:misc_RNA from 1 species